UAACUAAAAGUUGAUGUUGAAAUUCUUUC
rnacentral:piRNA from 1 species